AGAGCGAACGCUGGCGGCAGGCCUAACACAUGCAAGUCGAGCGCCCGUAGCAAUACGGGAGCGGCAGACGGGAUAGUAACACGUGGGAACGCGCCCUUCGGUUCGGAAUAACUCAGGGAAACUUGAGCUAAUACCGAAUACGCCCUUACGGGAAAGAUUAUUGCCGAAGGAACGGCCCGCGUCCGAUUAGCUAGUUGGUGAGGUAAUGGCUCACCAAGGCUACGAUCGGUAGCUGGUCUGAGAGGAUGACCAGCAUCACUGGGACUGAGACACGGCCCAGACUCCUACGGGAGGCAGCAGUGGGGAAUAUUGGACAAUGGGCGCAAGCCUGAUCCAGCCAUGCCGCGUGGAUGAUGAAGGCCUUAGGGUUGUAAAGUCCUUUUAACGGGGAAGAUAAUGACGGUACCCGUAGAAUAAGCCCCGGCUAACUUCGUGCCAGCAGCCGC
rnacentral:rRNA from 1 species